AUGGCAAUAUCGCGUUGAAACGCCGAUUCCCGUAAGAUCAUCGAAGUUAAGCAACGUUGAGCCUGGUCAGUAUCUAGAUGGGUGACCAUUUAGAAAUACCAGGUACUGUAA